UGGUCCUUGAACCUAACUAGAUUAUCGAGAGGUACAGCAGAUGAUUGAACUAGUGUUUUAUAUAAUAUAAAAUAAACUAUACAAUGGUCGGGCACAAUGGCCACAAAAGAUUGUAAUGGCAGUGAAAACAUGUCCUAACAUCAGUUAUGCUCUCUACCAUUAUAGAAGCACUAUCUCCUUGAACCAACGCUCCGCGGAAGUUUUUUUUAGUUGUAAUUCGCUACAGUGCUCCGAUUGUCAGUGGUUUUAAUUAAUGGCAUUUGCAUUGUAGUUCGAGUGCAUCAGAUACGGAUUUACCAUCACGACUGCUAAUUGAAAUUUAAUACUUUUUCUGAACCUUUUUCGUAUCGGGUUAAAUCCUCGGAUUAUUUCCUUUAAAUUGUUGAUAUCUUUAUCUCCAUAAAUACAUCAGAAUGGUUGUAGCUGGAUUCCUCCUGAUCACUGGGAUGCUGGUCUUCGGAGCCUACUGGGCGACCAUGUUCUUUAUGCAACCGCAACAGCAGAAAACCACGAUUCCUGCUACUCUCACAACGUUAAUGGAAACAACAGCAUCCCCGGUAACGGAAACCAAACCGGCAAUAUAUGAAAUGAUACUCAAUUAUAAAUAACACUUAUAUUUAAUAUCUGUACAAUCACCUGUGUAUUUACAUUCUGUUUUUGUAUUUCUAAUGUGGGUCUUUUUACGUAGCUGUUAGGUUAGUCACCAUGUAUUUCAUUAUUUCAAACAUGCUGGUAUAUAAACUGCAGUUAGGUAUGAUUUUGCACAUUAGCACAAAACUGAAAGAAAAAACGCUUUUUUGUGACAUUUUUUUCUCGAAACACUCAUAGAGAAAAAUAGCAAUUACGUCUUUAUUUUAGCUUUUCCUUUUUGACCGACUUCAAAGGAGGAGUUUAUUAAUCCGAUUGAAGGUUUUGAAAUAUUUAACUUUUGUAUAAUUUAUUUUUGAUAACCUU